rnacentral:rRNA from 1 species
GACGAACGCUGACAGAAUGCUUAACACAUGCAAGUCGAGGGGCAGCACUAGGUAGCAAUACUGAGGUGGCGACCGGCGCGACGGGUGCGUAACGCGUAUCCAACCUUCCCGUUACUCUUGGAUAGCCUUCCGAAAGGGAGAUUAAUACAAGAUGGUAUUCAAAUUCCGCAUGUUAUUUGAAUUAAAGAUUUAUCGGUAACGGAUGGGGAUGCGUGACAUUAGAUAGUAGGCGGGGUAACGGCCCACCUAGUCUACGAUGUCUAGGGGUUCUGAGAGGAAGGUCCCCCACACUGGAACUGAGACACGGUCCAG